GACAGGAGCUAGAGAUAAGAUAAAGGUGGUAAUAUUAUCUGAUUAUCUCAGACUAGGAAGAGGUAAACAAGCUGGAGGAGCACUGAUAAUGAACACAAAGAAUCCAUAAGGAAAGCCAGCUCAGCAACUGUGCUGACAAUCAGCUCAGUUGGCUGGGUGCAGCUCUAAAGGAAGAGGCCAUGGCCCACUGACUCUGAAGAGGAGGAAGACUGAGCAUGGGACUAAUCAGCAUUGGGAGCAAGUGAAUCAUUCAACCAAGAGAAUAGGAGAGCUGUGUACCCAAUGAGCACUGAUUCCUAUCCAUGGAUUGUUUGCUAAAGUGUACCAAUGGGGAGAAGUUUUGAGUAACCCUGGACCCCCACUACUGAGAAGACCAGAAAAGGACCAGUGGGAUGAUGUCUGGAACCACAGGGACUGCCAGCAUCCUCUGCCCAAACUGAAGAUCAAAAGAACCAGCUCAGAGUGAGCCAACCAGUGGAUUUACAUGAGAAAGCUCACAGAAGUCAGCUAAGAAGAUAUGAUAAUGAGUUUUCCUUAAGGGCCUUUAACGAACCUGCCAACAUAUGAGACUGAGCUGCAUGGAACUUGUAAUUGCCACCAUAAUUGCUUGUAUUAUCAGCUUAUUAAUGUUUGUGAUUUGUUUGUGUUUUCAUUGCAA